rnacentral:rRNA from 1 species
GAUGAACGCUGGCGGCGUGCCUAACACAUGCAAGUCGAGCGUGAACUCUCGGAACGAAACUUCGGUCUAGGGAAGAGGGGGAAAGCGGCGGACGGGUGAGUAACGCGUAGGUAACCUGCCCCAUACAUAGGGAUAGCCUAGGGAAACCUGGAUUAAUACCUAAUAAUGCGAAGAGAUCACAUGGUUUUUUCGCAAAAGAUUCAUCGGUAUAGGAUGGACCUGCGUCUGAUUAGCUAGUUGGUGGGGUAACGGCCUACCAAGGCAACGAUCAGUAGCCGACCUGAGAGGGUAAUCGGCCACAUUGGAACUGAGACACGGUCCAAACUCCUACGGGAGGCAGCAGUGGGGAAUAUUGCACAAUGGGCGCAAGCCUGAUGCAGCAACGCCGCGUGAGUGAAGAAGGUCUUCGGAUCGUAAAACUCUGUCCUUAGGGAAGAAACAAAUGACGGUACCUAAGGAGGAAGCCCCGGCUAACUACGUGCCAGCAGCCGCGGUAAUAC